CCAAGAGGAAGAGUAUAGGACUCGAGAGGAAGAAUAUCGGACUCGAGAGGAAGACUCAGAAGACGAAUAUGAGAGCCCAGAGAACAAAUAUAGGACCCGAGAGGGAGAGGGCGAAUAUAAAAUCCCAAUCGUGGACCGUUAAGUCGAUAUGGGCUUUAUCUUAGGUUCCCCCGUAUAGGUAUAAAAGAAAACCCUUUUCCAGUUCAUGUUAUCGAGGACCUGGGCGAUUUUUACCCGCUUCUCGGCGCUCGCCGUUUCAAGGUGAAGAUCUUCGUUAAUCCUUUUUAGGAUUUUUUAUUUUCGUAUACGCUGGCAUGAGCGCGAUUGGCAAUCAGGAUAUCGGUCGCUUGGCACUAGUCGAAUAGGCGAUUCAGUCGUGAUAGUGCCAUCCCUUGCCCCUUGGAGUGAGUUGAAAGCACUCUUCCAGCUCUUGAUUCGCGGAAUUCAUUACGAAGCAAGAUUUCAUUUCAUUUCCAUUUACGUCAUUAGCAAAACAAGCAAGAUUCACCUCAGGAUACGACGAAUUCUGGAACACUUCCUUGAUUGAUAUAUGCAUUUUCUAGAGCAGGCACCAUUGACUGCUUCUUCAACGUCUAUACUAUACGAGACGAGACGAGUUAUUGUACGAGUCAAGCUUGCUCCAGACCAAGCUCACCUUUUGUUACUCCGGAAAUAUUGGCUUCGCCUGUACAGAUUUUCUAGGGCCUGGGCGAUUUUUACCCGCUUCUCGGCGCUCGCCGUUUCAAGGUGAAGAUCCUCGUAAGUAGAGCGUAAUGUGCUCUCCCUAGGGUUCCUAUCUCGACAGGACCUUAGAACUGUUUUAAUUCUUUUCUUUAAGAACGAAAUGGAUGGUACUUCAGGUUGCGCCCCAUUUAUGGGCGGCUCUGACUCUUUGCCAUUGGCGUCUUGGCGGGACACUUUUUUCCGCUUAUCAUCAUCCUCAGAAUUAGGCGUAGCGGAAGCACUCGACGAGGCCUCUACGACAGCAUGGGCUCUUCCCCGUUUCUGGCCGGACGAUUCCAUAAAUACUAAAGUCAGAAGUAAGACCAAACCGAGAGUGAGUAGCUUAGACAAGGAUAGAUUUGUGAAUGAGACAUAGUACUCACC
rnacentral:lncRNA from 1 species